rnacentral:rRNA from 1 species
UACAGAAGGUGCAAGCGUUGUUCGGAAUUAUUGGGCGUAAAGCGCGUGUAGGCGGCAGUGCAAGUCGGGUGUGAAAGCCCUCAGCUCAACUGAGGAAGUGCGCCCGAAACUGCAUUGCUUGAGUACCGGAGAGGAUGGCGGAAUUCCCGAAGUAGAGGUGAAAUUCGUAGAUAUCGGGAGGAACACCGGUGGCGAAGGCGGCCAUCUGGACGGAUACUGACGCUGAGACGCGAAAGCGUGGGUAGCAAACAGG